ACGCUGGGCGGCGUGCCUAAUACAUGCAAGUCGAACGGUUCUUUCUAUGGAAGCUUGCUUCCACUGAGAAGAUAGUGGCGAACGGGUGAGUAACACGUGGGUAACCUGCCAUAAGAGGGGGAUAACAUCCGGAAACGGGUGCUAAUACCGCAUAGUUUUUCUUGAUCGCAUGAUUGAGAAAGGAAAGACGGCCUUUGUGCUGUCGCUUAUGGAUGGACCCGCGGCGUAUUAGUUAGUUGGUGAGGUAACGGCUCACCAAGACGAUGAUACGUAGCCGACCUGAGAGGGUGAUCGGCCACAUUGGGACUGAGACACGGCCCAAACUCCUACGGGAGGCAGCAGUAGGGAAUCUUCCGCAAUGGACGAAAGUCUGACGGAGCAACGCCGCGUGAGUGAAGAAAGGUUUUCGGAUCGUAAAACUCUGUUGUCAGAGAAGAACAAGUUGGAGAGUAACUGCUCCAGCCUUGACGGUAUCUGACCAGAAAGCCACGGCUAACUACGUGCCAGCAGCCGC
rnacentral:rRNA from 1 species